CUGUGGUAUUGGCGUCUCGCUGGGUGACGCCUCUCAGCUUAUCCAUUUCCGCCCUCCCCUCCGCCUCCUCCUCCUCCUCCUCGGGGUUUUUGCACGAGAACGCUUAAUUCCGUCGGAUCGAAGCGUCUUUACGUCGUGUUAGGACCCGAUUAGGACGUGGGAUCUCGAUUCCCCCGGAGGAAUCUCUUCAUACGGAAUCUUGCUCCAAGAGGGUUUAGAUUAAAAUUCCUCCCUUUUGUUUCGGUUUAUCCCAAUGAUGGAUCGCGUGAGAGAGAAGUGACAUGAGUCCUUGAUGAUUGGCCGCCGGAUGAUCUGGUGAAGCCUUACCACGGGGAUCUCCGGAUGCAGUUCGAGCAGGAGCAGGUUCUUGAGGCGCAUUACAAUACCGGCGAUGAUCCGUCCGAGGGUACCCCCAGCUUUGUUCGGUGUGGCAUCAGUGUGAAUGCAACACCACAUAUGCGCCGCGGACCUGAAGGACCAAGGACUCUUUGUAAUGCAUGUGGGAUUGCUCGGACGAAGAUCUGCACCAGAAACUCGCUUGAAUAAGCAGAUUGCAAUCUCAGCUUCUCAAAUUGCAUGUUGGUUCUUACUAUCCAAGCAAACCAAAGAGGAUGGAUGGAUUAGUGAAAAAGAGCCAAUCAUUCAGCAGCAAGUUGGAUUCAUAAAGCAUGUCAAACAAUUUGGAUUAUUUUGGAGCUGGUACUAGAAUCCACAACCAAAUCCAACAUAUAAGACAGAUGCUUUAUAACAAUGUCAGCGUGAAAUUUACUCAAUCGCACUUUAUAGUGACUGUUUGUAUUCUAAAUUUAUGGAUGCCUAUGAUUCAGAUUGUAUAUUAUGAGCAAUCUUGUUCUGAUAUCAUUAUGUUGGAAUCAGCUGCAAACAUGCAGUCCCAACCAUUAUUUCAGUGGUGAGUGGUCCCAUGUGAACAAUCAAUCAGAUCAGUGAUCAAGUCCAUCGAGACACAGACAACUCCCACCACCUGGAUCAUCUGAGUUUGCUUUGCUUGUUUUAGUAGUUUAAAAUUCUUAUAUAAAAUGAUUUAAGCCAGUUAUCCAAAUUCAGAUGAUGAGUUGCCUUUUCUCCAAAAGAGUAUCAACUGGCAUAUCUUUUAUAAUUUGUUUUUUCUGUUCAGGUUGUGUCAUAAGCUCAUGGACCAAGGUCUUAGGUAGCAAGAAGAAUUUCCUUAGAAGUGCCUUGAGAUAGGCAUUGAGAAAAAUUUUGUAUCAUAAGCAACUAUUGUUUGGGUAAAGUAAGAUGGUACAAUGAGUUCAUGCAAAUUCUAGGUAGACUACCUCUAUUAUGGUUAUCAUUCAUGUUGUCAUGGAGAGUAAGGUCAUAAUUUGGCUGUAUGCUGUGUGCAUUUUCUGUUAAAUAGUCAGCCAUACUCUGAAUCAGAGGAACAUGUAUAUGGCAUCCAAUCUUGGCAUUCGACUGGUCAUUAUAUAGAUUAGUGAGCUCUCCUAUUUGGGUUUUGCCAUCGGCGGCAAAUAUCAAAGUUAUUUGCAAAUCUGAUUUAAUUGCUCUUGUUACUGGAUUGAACUACUCAGUACUCCCUACUUUAGAUCGCAUUGAUUUCUAGAACAUUUAAUCUCUCUGAUCUAGUGUUCAGGUGAAACUACAGAUAGAUUUGACUGGAUUCACUAGAGAAGCAUGAACUUUCACCGACUGAUCCAGUUGGAACAACUUGGUUGCUCUCUU